UCCCGGGUAGCUCAGCUGGUAAAGCAUCCGCCUGCAAUGCAGAGCACCCCGGUUUGAUUCCUGGGUUGGGAA
rnacentral:tRNA from 1 species